UACGUAGGGUGCGAGCGUUAAUCGGAAUCACUGGGCGUAAAGAGCGCGUAGGCGGUCCGGUAAGUCGGUUGUGAAAACUGGGGGCUCAACCCUCAGAGGCCGACCGAUACUGUCGGGCUAGAGUCCGGAAGAGGCGAGUGGAAUUCCUGGUGUAGCGGUGAAAUGCGCAGAUAUCAGGAGGAACACCAAUGGCGAAGGCAGCUCGCUGGGACGGCACUGACGCUGAGGCGCGAAAGCGUGGGGAGCAAACAGG
rnacentral:rRNA from 1 species